UAUUAUGGGAUACACGUUUUUAAACAUCCUUUUGUGUGUAAGUGUGCAUUAGUACAUGCUAACGAUAUUCAAAAAGUACAUACCUCAAAGAAAACGAUGACGCGAGUUAUCGUCUCUAACGUUCGAGGACUACAAAAAACACUCGGAUUGUAGGCAACAGUUUACUUCCUGGGAUUAGUGACGUAGAUAAGACCAACAUUAUCAUAGUUCAGCCCUCUCUGCUUUGCUUGGGUACGCCCUCAAAGACGGGGGUGGGGAGCGCCGAGUCAGAAGAGAGCUAAAAUGGCGGAGGUUGUGAGUCCCUGCUUUGACUCUGUUUGCAAACUCUUGUUUCAUUGUUUAAGCGAUUAAAUCUCUCGAGUAGACGCUGUCUCUUUAGAUGCGAGGGCAAAAUAGCACUUUAUGGACUUCCACAGAGGACAUCAUGUUUAAUACGGUUCCGGAAAAAUCCAGUCAGAAGUUGUUCACGGAGUUUUCACAAUAACUGCUUCUCAUGAACCGAAGCUGGAUUUGCGCGACGUCUCCUCUUGAAAGUUGGAUUACUGUGCACUUCUGGAUCACAGACUAUUCGCAGCUGUACACAUCCUUCUACACUGUAUGCAAACAUGCAACAUCAUUACACACAGUACAAGGAGUCAGACUGGCAUAUGAGGAGCAAAGGAACCCAGGCAGUAGCAUCGUUUCACAAUGUUUCCAUCAUCAUCAUCAGUGGAUGCCUUUGCCGUCCGUAGCCUGAGAUUUCAGAUUUGCAG